AUGCCGCGGCCAGCGCCCUCCCGCCGUCCGUCCACCGCCACGCCCAACACCCUCCUGCCCGUCCAUCCGCCACCUCGCCAGCGCCGCGUGAAGGUCCACCUCGCGAGCUCAUCUUCACCUACCGGCCGUGCGCACCACAGCUCCUCCGGCCGGGCACCCGAGCCCGUCCACACUCCGAGCUCCGCCGCUAGAGCAGCCGUGCGCUCCGCCUCGCGAGCUCCGCUGGUCGAGCACCGCCCAUCCCUGACCUCCCUCGCGUGCCUCGCCGUGGUGUCGGAGCGAGACAGCUCCCGAGCGCGGCUAGGCCGGAGCGACACGGUUGAGCAGGGCCGGGCGACGGCGCACCGAGCAGAGCAGUCCGGCGAGCGUUGGGGCCGGGAGACGGCGCACCGAGAAGAGCAGUCCGGCGAGCGUUGGGGCCGGGCGGCGGGGCGAACAGGGCACUGCAGGGGAGAAGAAGGACUCGAUUGCUUUUUAGUUUUACUUUUUAGGGUUCUUUGUGUUAAUUUCUAG
rnacentral:rRNA from 1 species